AUGAACCUCUUUCUUAACAGGAUCCAAAAGGGACUGUAAAAGCAAGUGUUCACCACAAGGCCAUUGAUCAUCCUGAAAUAGGCAUACACUUAAAAGUUGGAAGUGUGAUAAUCCUACAAGAUGUUUCAAUUUUUUCACCAAUACGUGAAACAUACUAUCUUAACAUAACUCUGAGGAAUAUUGUCAAGGUUUUUGGAAGUGAUAUUGGGGGCCCAACUGAUGACCUAGUACGUCUAUCAAUACCAAUUGAUACCAACAAGCCUCCAACACGCUCCGUUGAUGACAUUCUAUCGAAAUUGAUUCCACCUCUUCACAAACCUCAAGGCACUGGAUGAAAGAAGAACAAUAUAAAUGGCCUAUGUUAAAACUUUCAUAAUUUCGUUGACUGUAUUUAAGAUUUAUCGUUGUUGUUUGUUGUCGAAUAUUGUGCGUGGUCACAUGGAUGUGUUAUUUAGAAAAAUUUGUGAACUACUUAACUUAUGUUCAUCAAUUUGUUGUUGCAUUAAGUGCUUAUGUAAUGUUCGUUAA